GACGAACGCUGGCGGCGUGCUUAACACAUGCAAGUCGAACGGAAAGGCCUGCUUUCCCUUGUGGAUUGCGGGUACUCGAGUGGCGAACGGGUGAGUAACACGUGAGUGAUCUGCCCCCAACUUGGGUAUAAGCCUGGGAAACUGGGUCUAAUUCCCGAUAGGACUGCAGGGUGGUGCCUGUGGUGGAAAACGAUCUUCUAGUGGUUGGGGAUGAGCUCGCGGCCUAUCAGCUUGUUGGUGGGGUAAUGGCCUACCAAGGCGGCGACGGGUAGCCGGCCUGAGAGGGUGGACGGCCACAUUGGGACUGGGAUACGGCCCAGACGCCUACGGGAGGCAGCAGUGGGGAAUAUUAGACAAUGGGCGGAAGCCUGAUGCAGCGACGCCGCGUGGGGGAUGACGGCCUUCGGGUUGUAAACUCCUUUCGACCGCGAGGAAGCCACCUGGUUGGAAGGGUGGUGACGGUAGUGGUAGAAGAAGCACCGGCUAACUACGUG
rnacentral:rRNA from 1 species